rnacentral:rRNA from 1 species
CCUACGGGUGACGGCAGUGAGGAAUAUUGGUCAAUGGACGAGAGUCUGAACCAGCCAAGUAGCGUGAAGGAUGACUGCCCUAUGGGUUGUAAACUUCUUUUAUAUGGGAAUAAAACGUUCCACGUGUGGGAUUUUGUAUGUACCAUAUGAAUAAGGAUCGGCUAACUCCGUGCCAGCAGCCGCGGUAAUACGGAGGAUCCGAGCGUUAUCCGGAUUUAUUGGGUUUAAAGGGAGCGUAGGUGGAUUGUUAAGUCAGUUGUGAAAGUUUGCGGCUCAACCGUAAAAUUGCAGUUGAAACUGGCAGUCUUGAGUACAGUAGAGGUGGGCGGAAUUCGUGGUGUAGCGGUGAAAUGCUUAGAUAUCACGAAGAACUCCGAUUGCGAAGGCAGUUCACUGGACUGCAACUGACACUGAGGCUCGAAAGUGUGGGUAUCAAACAGGAUUAGAUACCCGUGUAGUC